CUACGCACUCCUACGGGAGGCAGCAGUGGGGAAUAUUGCACAAUGGGCGCAAGCCUGAUGCAGCCAGUGCCGCGUGUAUGAAGAAGGCCUUCGGGUUGUAAAGUACUUUCAGCAGUGAGGAAGGUGGAUAUCGUUAAUAGCAUAUUCAUUUGACGUUAGCUGCAGAAGAAGCACCGGCUAACUCCGUGCCAGCAGCCGCGGUAAUACGGAGGGUGCGAGCGUUAAUCGGAAUUACUGGGCGUAAAGCGCAUGCAGGUGGUUUGUUAAGUCAGAUGUGAAAGCCCGGGGCUCAACCUCGGAAUUGCAUUUGAAACUGGCAAACUAGAGUACUGUAGAGGGGGUAGAAUUUCAGGUGUAGCGGUGAAAUGCGUAGAGAUCUGAAGGAAUACCGGUGGCGAAGGCGGCCCCCUGGACAGAUACUGACACUCAGAUGCGAAAGCGUGGGGACGCAAACAGGAUUAGAUACCCUGGUAG
rnacentral:rRNA from 1 species